AGGAUAGUCAUAGAUGAGAGAAAUACAAAAAGUUAGAGUGAUGUUAAGGGGAGUAGCAAGGUGGCUCAGUGGGUAGAGGAGGAGGCCUGGUGUCAAGAGGACCUGGGUUCAAACCUGGUCUCAGACACUUCCUACUGUAUAACCCUGAGUGAGUCACUUGACCUCCAUUGCCCAGUCCUUGCCGUUCUUCUUCCUUGGAACCAAUACACAAUAUGAUUCAAAGGUACACGAAUGUAAACUGAUUCAAGAUUGGAAUGAUGAUGGUGAUCUGGCCUCUGACACAUAAGGUCAUGCGACUCUGGGCAAGUCAUGAAAACUAAAGGGGCUCUAAGCCGAUGAGGUCAAACUCAUAUAGAAAUAAUCUAUAUGUAAGGAUCCCGGAGUGCUCUGGGCCAUAUACGUACGGUCUAUGUAUUUGGUGCCUCUGCUUUGGGCCACUCUCUGAGACAGACAUAGAAGAUUCCAACCUUCUACACCAAUGGUAACAGUUUCUUCAGCUAGGAGUCUUCUAGAAAUGAAAUCUAAUGCUCAGUUUCUAUUUCUAUAUUAUAGUUUAUAAAAUAUUUUUCCUAGGUGAUGACAUUUGAGCCUUACAAUUAGCCCAUGAGGUAAGCAGAAAAAAUAUUAUUAAUCUCAUUUUAUAGAGGAGGAAAUGAAGGCUUAGGCUAAAAGGAUUUUUUUUUUUACCAAGGUUACUCUGUUAAUUAAGUCGCUAAACCAAGAUGGAUGGAUGAAUAAAUGAAGGAAUCAGUAAAUGAAAAAGGUAUUU
rnacentral:lncRNA from 1 species